rnacentral:rRNA from 1 species
UAGGGAAUAUUGGUCAAUGGGUGAGAGCCUGAACCAGCCAUGCCGCGUGCAGGAAGAAGGCCUUCUGGGUUGUAAACUGCUUUUGCCAGGGGAUAAAAAGGGAGUGCGCUCCCAAUUGAAGGUACCUGGUGAAUAAGCCACGGCUAACUACGUGCCAGCAGCCGCGGUAAUACGUAGGUGGCAAGCGUUGUCCGGAUUUAUUGGGUUUAAAGGGUGCGUAGGCGGUUUUUUAAGUCAGUUGUGAAAUACGGCAGCUCAACUGUCGAGGUGCAAUUGAUACUGGAAGACUUGAGUACAGACGAGGUAGGCGGAAUUGACGGUGUAGCGGUGAAAUGCAUAGAUAUCGUCAAGAACACCGAUAGCGAAGGCAGCUUACUAGACUGUAACUGACGCUGAGGCACGAAAGUGUGGGGAUCAAACAGGAUUAGAUACCCCCGUAGUCC